rnacentral:rRNA from 1 species
AGAGUUUGAUCCUGGCUCAGGAUGAACGCUGGCGGCGUGCCUAACACAUGCAAGUCGAACGAAGCGCAGGGAGCGGAAGUUUUCGGACUAAAGCAUCCUGCGACUUAGUGGCGGACGGGUGAGUAACGCGUGGGCAACCUGCCCCAUACAGGGGGAUAACAGUUAGAAAUGACUGCUAAUACCGCAUAAGACCACGGGACCGCAUGGUCCUGGGGCCAAAGCCCUGGCGGUAUGGGAUGGACCCGCGUCUGAUUAGGUAGUUGGUGAGGUAACGGCCCACCAAGCCGACGAUCAGUAGCCGACCUGAGAGGGUGACCGGCCACAUUGGGACUGAGACACGGCCCAAACUCCUACGGGAGGCAGCAGUGGGGAAUAUUGCACAAUGGGGGAAACCCUGAUGCAGCGACGCCGCGUGAGUGAAGAAGUAUUUCGGUAUGUAAAGCUCUAUCAGCAGGGAAGAAAAUGACGGUACCUGACUAAGAAGCCCCGGCUAACUACGUGCCAGCAGCCGCGGUAAUACGUAGGGGGCAAGCGUUAUCCGGAUUUACUGGGUGUAAAGGGAGCGUAGGCGGCGGUGCAAGUCAGAAGUGAAAACCCAAGGCUUAACCAUGGGACUGCUUUUGAAACUGUACGGCUGGAUUGCAGGAGAGGUAAGUGGAAUUCCUAGUGUAGCGGUGAAAUGCGUAGAUAUUAGGAGGAACACCAGUGGCGAAGGCGGCUUACUGGACUGUAAAUGACGCUGAGGCUCGAAAGCGUGGGGAGCAAACCAGGAUUAGAUACCCUGGUAGUCCACGCGGUAAACGAUGAAUAAUAGGGGUCAGGGAGAAAAGUUCUUUGGUGCCGCAGCAAACCGCAGUAAGUAUUCCACCUGGGGAGUACGUUCGCAAGAAUGAACUCAAAAGGAAUUGACGGGGACCCGCACAAGCGGUGGAGCAUGUGGUUUAAUUCGAAGCAACGCGAAGAACCUUACCAGGUCUUGACAUCUGGGUGACAGAGCAGGUAAUGCUGUUUUCCCUUCGGGGCACCCAAGACAGGUGGUGCAUGGUUGUCGUCAGCUCGUGUCGUGAGAUGUUGGGUUAAGUCCCGCAACGAGCGCAACCCUUACCUUUAGUAGCCAGCGGGUAAAGCCGGGCACUCUAAAGGGACUGCCUGGGACAACCUGGAGGAAGGUGGGGAUGACGUCAAAUCAUCAUGCCCCUUAUGACCUGGGCUACACACGUGCUACAAUGGCGUAAACAAAGGGAAGCGAAGCUGUGAGGUGGAGCGAAUCCCAAAAAUAACGUCUCAGUUCGGAUUGCAGGCUGCAACCCGCCUGCAUGAAGCUGGAAUCGCUAGUAAUCGCGGAUCAGCAUGCCGCGGUGAAUACGUUCCCGGGUCUUGUACACACCGCCCGUCA